UACGGGGGGGCAAGGCGUUGUUCGGAAUUACUGGGCGUAAAGGGUGCGUAGGCGGCUUCUAAGUUGGAUGUGAAAACUAUGGGCGUCAACCCAUAGCCUGCAUCCAAAACUGGAGAGCUUGGGUUCUGGAGGGGAAAGGCGGAAUUCCUGGUGUAGCGGUGAAAUGCGUAGAUAUCAGGGAGGAACACCGGUGGGCGAAGGCGGCUUUCUGGGACAGAC
rnacentral:rRNA from 1 species